CCUCUGAAUUUCACACGAGGGCUAUGGCCGGGGUUUCCAGGCCCUUCGUUGCAACUCCUAAACCUAAAACCCUAUUCCCCGAUAUUUUAGCGCCUUUUGCUUUCGCGACGACUCGAUCCAUGGCCUCUUCUCCGUUCCAGAAACUUCAGGUUCACCGCGAUGACAAUAUACUUGAUGCGUAUGUUGUUGGCAAAGAGAAUGCUGCUGGUAUAGUUGUGCUUCAAGAAUGGUGGGGGGUUGAGUUUGAGAUUAAGAAUCAUGCUGUUGCUAUUUCUCAGUUUGGCUCCGGUUAUCGAGCGCUUAUGUGUUGUUGUGCUUUAGUGUUGUUGUUUCAAUUGAAUUUGGUGCUUGUUUGUGAUUUGAUUUUGGUUUGGGUUUGGCAGUUUGUACCGAGGAAAGGAUGGGUUGGAUGUUGCUGAAGUGCAGCAUUUGAUGGAUGGUCUUGAUUGGCAAGGUGAUGUAUCCGUUAUGCACGCAUGGUAGCCAAGGAACUGUCCACACCUCAGUAUCUUCCCUGUUCCCAAUCCUUCGCCCACUACCUUGUUUCACAAUUGUUUGAGAUUGAAGAAUGCUACGCCACAUAUAACUUGGGUUGUUACCCAAUUUUGCAUUCGUCGUAGGAAAGUAUCUUGCCUUCAUCAGAGCAGUUACCAACGGGUUGUCGCCAUUUAACAAUCGCCAUCCUUGUUUUGCGAGCAUUGCCACAUUAAAGCGUUUCAAAUCUUUAAAACCCAACCCUCCAUUAAAUUUUCCUUCACAUAGUCUCUCCCAAGACAUCCAACGAAUCCCCUUACUCCUGCCGUUAUUUCCCCACCAGAAUGCGUUCAUAAGUCUUUGUAUGUCAUUACAAACCUCAUCUGGGAUGAGAAAAAGAUUCAUCCAAAAAUUAGGCACUGACUGAGCUGCAGUUUUUAGUAGACCCAAUUUACCACCUUUUGACAUCGACUUGUUACACCAAUUCUGGAGCUUUUGACUUAUACGCUCUUUCAGGAAUUUAAACACAUUGUUCUUACUUCUCCCGAUGUACAUUGGUAGGCCGAGAUAGUUUCCCAGAUUUAUUACUUCUUGCACCUGCAAAAUGCCGCACACCUGUUCUUUACAUGAAGCCACAGUGUUGGGACUAAAGACCACUGCUGAUUUCCUGUAAUUUAUUGCUUGCCCAGAUAGAUUCUCAUAUCUCUGCAAAAUACUUUUCAUACUCUGUGCUUCCUGUGUUGUUGCUUUGAAGAAAAAAUAACAAUCAUCUGCAAACAACAGAUGAGAUAUUGACGGUGCACCCCGAGCAAUCUUGCAUCCAUUUAAUAAACCUGCGUCCUCAUGGCUUCGAAUCAUCGAACUUAAACCCUCUGCACAUAAGAUAUAUAAGUAAGGGGAGAUAGGAUCCCCUUGCCUAAUUCCGCGUUGUGGCUGAAUAUUUCCAAAUUCACUACCAUUUUGCAUAAAACUGUACGAAACCGUCGUCACACAUUUCAUUAUCCUUUCUAUCCACAUCUUGCUAAAUCCAAAUUUAUUUAGCAUUCCUUCAAGAAACUUCCAUUCUAGCCUAUCAUAGGCCUUUGAUAUAUCAAUUUUAAAACCAACUACUCCCUGCUCACCUUGAUAUCUCCUCCUGAUGUAAUGAUUUAAUUCAAAUGCAAUCAAAGCAUUGUCUGUAAGCAGCCGUCCUUUAACGAAAGCACUUUGUUUGUCUGAGAUCAAAUUUGGUAAACAGAUUUUUAGUCGAUUAGCCAACACUUUAGAUAACACUCGAACCAAAACAUUGCAAAGCGAAAUCGGUCUAACAUCAGUCAUUUGUUGGGGUUGUUUAAUUUUUGGUAUCAAACACACUAAAGUCCGGUUUAUACCUUCUGGUAGCUCUCCUGUAUCAAAGUACGACUGACAGAACUUCACCACGUCAUCUCCUACUAUUUCCCAAUAUGCCUGAUAAAACCCAGGGUUUAAACCAUCAUGUCCUGGUGAUUGAUGCUUGGAAUAAUUCCUCAAAGCAUAUUUUGAUCCACUGAAUAUUUUUGGGAAGAAACGGUUUAGGGUUAAAGCUGUAGAUGAUGAUGAUGGCCAUAAAGGUGGAGAUGAUGACGAUAAACCAGAAUGGUUAAAGAGGCUCGAAAAAUUUCUAAAGAAAUAUGAGUCUUUGACCAAGAUUGUUGCAUAUUUUAAGCUAAUCACUGAUAUUGUGAAAUUCAUGUGGUGGCUGUACAAAUAUGUGUUACUUCCAGGCUAUGCAAUUGGAAAAAAGUUUUUAAAGCCAGAGCCUAGGAUUGUGAUUGCCCUUUCAGAUAAGGGAGAAGAACAGAAGAACAAAAGUGGGGAAAAUCACAGCAACAAGGGGGAAAGCCAAAAGAAAAAGCAAAAUGAGGAAGAGAGCAAAACGGAAGAACAGAAGAAAAAGCAAAAUGAGGAAGAGAGCAAAACGGAAGAACAGAAGAAAAAGCAAAACGAGGAAGAGAGCAAAACUGAAGAACAGAAUGAGGAAGUGAGCAGAUGGAGGAUUCAAUUUUUCAAGUGCGUGUUCUACAUUUACAUCCAAGUGCAGUUGCAUAUCCAUUUUGGUAAAUAGGAUGUUUAAAAAAUACCACUAGAUGCGAUAAUUUGAGAUCAACUCCUUUAGUUUGUAGUUUGAUUACUUGAUAGGCCCACUUUAGGGUAUAGAUUGGAGUCUGCCUUGAAGAGCAAACACAGCUUUUUUGUUUAACUUGUGUAUAUCCGAUUUAACUAUGUGUAUGGCUAUCAACUCAUACCUUGUUAUUCUC